AGUGAACGCUGGCGGUAGGCCUAGCACAUGCAAGUCGAACGGCAGCACAGUAAGAGCUUGCUCUUACGGGUGGCGAGUGGCGGACGGGUGAGGAAUACAUCGGAAUCUACUUUUUCGUGGGGGAUAACGUAGGGAAACUUACGCUAAUACCGCAUACGACCUACGGGUGAAAGCAGGGGAUCUUCGGACCUUGCGCGAUUGAAUGAGCCGAUGUCGGAUUAGGUAGUUGGCGGGGUAAAGGCCCACCAAGGCGACGAUCCGUAGCUGGUCUGAGAGGAUGAUCAGCCACACUGGAACUGAGACACGGUCCAGACUCCGACGGGAGGGAGCAGUGGGGAAUAUUGGACAAUGGGCGCAAGCCUGAUCCAGCCAUACCGAGUGGGUGAAGAAGGCCUUCGGGUUGUAAAGCCCUUUUGUUGGGAAAGAAAAGCAGCAGGUUAAUACCCCGCUGUUCUGACGGUACCCAAAGAAUAAGCACCGGCUAACUUCGUG
rnacentral:rRNA from 1 species